GACAGAGGGUGCAAACGUUGUUCGGAAUUACUGGGCGUAAAGCGCGUGUAGGCUGCUUCGCAAGUCGGGUGUGAAAGCCCUGGGCUCAACCUAGGAAGUGCACUCGAAACUGCGAAGCUGGAGUCCUGGAGAGGAAGGCGGAAUUCUUGGUGUAGAGGUGAAAUUCGUAGAUAUCGAGAGGAACACCGGUGGCGAAGGCGGCCACCUGGACUGAUACUGACACUGAGGUGCGAAAGCGUGGGGAGCAAACAGG
rnacentral:rRNA from 1 species